rnacentral:rRNA from 1 species
AGUCUAACAUGUGCGCGAGUCAUGGGGUUCUUACGAAACCCAAAGGCGCAAUGAAAGUGAAGGUCUCCUCCGGAGUACCCAGGCAAGAUCCCGCGGGUUCGCUCGCGGGCGCAUUGCCGGCCCGUCUCGGCGGCACUGUUCGCGAGGCGGAGCAAGAGCGCACACGUUGGGACCCGAAAGAUGGUGAACUAUGUCUGAGUAGGGCGAAGUCAGAGGAAACUCUGAUGGAGGCCCGCAGCGAUUCUGACGUGCAAAUCGAUCGUCAAACUUGGAUAUAGGGGCGAAAGACUAAUCGAACCAUCUAGUAGCUGGUUCCCUC